UACGAAGGGGGCUAGCGUUGUUCGGAAUUACUGGGCGUAAAGCGUAUGCAGGCGGAUCUCUAAGUCGGGUGUGAAAUCUCGGGGCUUAACUCCGAAACUGCAUUCGAUACUGCCGUGCUUGAGGACUGGAGAGGAGACUGGAAUUUACGGUGUAGCGGUGAAAUGCGUAGAUAUCGUAAGGAAGACCAGUGGCGAAGGCGGGUCUCUGGACAGUGACUGACGCUGAGACGCGAAAGCGUGGGGAGCAAACAGG
rnacentral:rRNA from 1 species